UAGUCCACGCCCUAAACGAUGAGGACUGGCUGUCAGUGCUAUAGACGCAUUGGUAGCGAAGCUAACGCGUUAAGUUCUCCGCCUGGGGAGUACGACCGCAAGGUUGAAACUCAAAGGAAUUGACGGGGGCCCGCACAAGCGGUGGAGCAUGUGGUUUAAUUCGAUGCAACGCGAAGAACCUUACCAUCCCUUGACAUCCUCAGAAUGAUCUGUAAUCGAUCAGUGCUUUCGGGAACUGAGUGACAGGUGCUGCACGGCUGUCGUCAGCUCGUGUCGUGAGAUGUUGGGUUAAGUCCCGCAACGAGCGCAACCCCUAUUGUUAGUUGCCAGCGAGUAAUGUCGGGGACUCUAACGAGACUGCCCGCGUAAGCGGAGAGGAAGGUGGGGACGACGUCAAAUCAUCAUGGCCUUUAUGCCUAGGGCUACACACGUGCUACAAUGGCAGGUACAGAGGGUUGCGAAGGGGUGACCUGGAGCUAAUCUCAGAAAGU
rnacentral:rRNA from 1 species